CGCUGAUUUAAAGGGGCAAAAUCGACACCCACGAUUGGAUCCCGCGGCAAUUGUCGAAAAUUUGGUUUAAAAUUGGGUACUGACAUCGGGCAGGGUACUGACAUCUCUCUGAUCGAACACGACGAUUGGAAGAGCUUUCUCUCUCUUCGCUAAACAAAGGGUUGAAGCUUUCUCUAUGUUCUCUUUCUUCGCUGAAAAAAGGGUUGAAGCUCUUCUCUGUGUUCUCUCUCUCUUCGCUGGAAAAGGGUUUCUCUCUCAUCGGCACGAUUGGAAGAGAGUUCUCAUCGGGCACGAUUGGAAGAGUUUUCUCUCUCUUCGCUGAAAAAGGAUUGAACCUCUUCUCUGUGUUCUCUCUUUCUUCGCUGAAAAAAGGGUUGAAGCUCUUCUCUGUGGUUUCUCUCUCCAAUGAAAAAAGGGUUUCUCUACUAAAACGGUGCUCCCUCUUCCCUUAGCUUCAACUCAACGAGGUAUGCCUACGCUCUCUCUCUCUCUCGGGUUUUUCUUUUUACUUUUCCAGCCCUCCCUCUGGUUUUCAAAAUCCCCAAAGCCCAGUAAAACCCCCAAUCCCUAAAUCGUGUAGUUUUUUUCCCAAAUUGCUGGCCAAAUAUAGGUUUAAACCCAAAUUUCAUCUUCGUUUUUUGGCCAAAUUUCUGAUUUUUAAUAGCAUUUUCCCCAAAUUUCGUUUUCGUUUUUUAACCCAGAUUUUCUGCAAUACUGAGCAAAACCCCCAAAUCCCCAAGGAAGCUCAGAUUUUUGUACACGUUUAUACAGAUUUUUUGCCCAUAUUUUGUUUUCAUUUCUUACCCAGAUUUUCUGUAGUACUGAGUGAACUUCUGCCCAAAUUUUGUUUUCAUCUUCGUUUUUUGCCCAAAUUUCUGGCCCGAUUUUUUGUAGCAUUUUGCCCAAAUUUUUUUUACGUUUUUUGUCCAGAAUUUCUGUAAUACUGAGCAAAACACCCCUGUGUAUGUAUGGAAGCAUUUUUUAAGGGCCUACAUGGUUCUUGAGUAUUUGGCCUGCUGAAAUUCCUGAUUAAAACCCACAACUGUUUUCGGACAUUUUAUGUGCCGAACAAACCCUAGAUUUCAACUAAAGCCAACAAUUUUUGGGCAGAUGAUUAAUUUUUCUGAAAUAUGUUUUGUAUUUCCCGAUCAUAGACAGAGGAUUAAUAUUUUCUUUUUGAGGAAUUAUCAUAGACACGUGAUUAAUUGUUUAUUGUUCGCAGAUAUUUGGUCAAAUAUAGCACCUUAUGAUUUGGAAUUAUUAUUUGGUUAUGUGAUAUAUAUGAGUUGGAAUUAUUAUUUGGUUAUGUGAUAUAUUGAAGAUAUCCAUAGUGAUGCAUUUACCGUCCUAGUAUUACGUUUGGAGCUUGAAAUGAGUGGAGUCAAUGUUUCUUGUCCUGAUUUUUUUAUAGCAAUUUUAUUUCUUUUUUUUUUGGCAAACAUAUGAUUUUUGACCCUGUGUAUAUAUGGUAGCAUGACUUACACUCAUAUUUAAGUGCCUACAUGGUUCUUGAUUUUUUGACCUUAUGAAAUUCCAAGAGUAAUUUAUGCCUAUAUAUUAUGUUUGGAGCUUGAAAUGAGUGGAGUCAAUGUUUCUUAUCCUGAUUUUUGUAUAGCAAUUUCAUUUCCUUUUUUUGGCAAACAUAUGGUUUUUAACCCUGUGUAUAUAUAGUAGCAUGACUUAUACUCAUAUAUAAGGGCCUACAUGAUUCUUGAUUAUUUGGCCUGCUGAAUUUCAAGAGUAACUGAUGCUUAUGUAGUAUGUUUGGAGCUUGAAAUGAGUGGAGUCAAUGUUUCUUACCCAGAUUUUUUCAUAACAAUUUCAUUUCAUUUUUUUGGAGUCAACUGCAUACCUUUACAUUAUUUUUAUUUGCAAUUGUUUUAUCCUCAUUAUUGUUGAUGUAUUUGAUUGACACUUGUAUUAGCUUCAAUUUAAUUGCUAACAUAUGAAUUUAUCUUCUUCUUACAAACAAAACACAUCGUAUACUUUGGAUCCAUAAGAAGUGAGUUGAUGCCUGGUUGAUUUAAAGUUUGAAUUAGGAUAUGCUUUUGUCAUCUUAACAUCAGCUGUUCAUAAAUCGAGAAGAUAUGAAUUCCUUGGAGGUAUUCUUUUAAACAAUAUCUUUUUCAUGAUCCUAGCAACUUCUUUUUUUUUUCAUGAUCUGUGCAAGUUAUGUUAAUUUGUCCGCGUCUUUAUGUAGUUCUGUGUCGGAGAAAGUGAAAGCAAAGCUGCACAUGCUUUAAUUCCUUCUCUCUCUAUACAAUGUGUUGUAUGCUAAAGAUUUUGUUGUUGCAUGUUUGUACUUAUUUUUCAUAUAUGGAUGGGGAUGAAUUCUAGAAUGCGUAUGUCUUUUUCUUACUUGCUUUCCCUACUGAGGAUUUCUAGUAGUUCUUGCUACUAGUCCAUGUGGAACAGAUUCUCUCUUUAAUGUCUUUAUACGGAUAAUCUCUCUCUCUCUCUUUAAACUCUUCAUAUGGAUAAUCUCUCUCUCUCUCUUGAAUGUCUUCUUGGUGGUUCUUGAUAUGGAGCUCUUUGCAUUUGGAUUUCUUAAGCACGACGGUUUCAUAAGUUUAAUGGGGAAGCAGUUGGUAUACAUUAAAACUAUUUAUUACUUGGUGAACCUUCUAAUGAGUUCUACACCUGAGAAUUUCAUGAAUCUUGUUAUAAGAGAGAAAAACUACAAUGCUUUGGACAACAAGAAAGUGGCUUGCAUUUGUGAAAAGUUCAAGGAUUCGCAAGACAGCCUAUUGGGAAGCUUAGCAAGCCGAAAUUCGAAGCAAACUACACAAAGAAGGUCAAUGGAUGCGUUGAAAUAAUUGAAGGACCUCAGCUGAUGAAUUUGCCAGGUGGAAGGAUGGCCUUAAAGGAUCCUUAAAAGUUCAUUUAUUUUUAUUUACUUUUUAUACCCUUUCGAAAUAUAUAUGUUUUUUGUAUGUAGGAAUUUCUGCAUUGGACUGCCAUUGUUGUUUGUUUAUUUUUGGGAAAUUUGGAUGCUUUCCUGAGUAGUGUUGACCAUAUUUUGGCAUGUUAUUUCAGUGGUACAAA